CAGGAAAUAGUUUAAAAAGAACGUCAGCUUUGGGUGCUGGCGGUGGGGGAAUAUCCCUCUUUCUUGA
rnacentral:tRNA from 2 species